UACGUAGGGUGCGAGCGUUGUCCGGAAUUAUUGGGCGUAAAGAGCUUGUAGGCGGUUUGUCGCGUCUGCUGUGAAAUUUCGGGGCUUAACCCCGAACUUGCAGUGGGUACGGGCAGACUAGAGUGUGGUAGGGGAGACUGGAAUUCCUGGUGUAGCGGUGAAAUGCGCAGAUAUCAGGAGGAACACCGAUGGCGAAGGCAGGUCUCUGGGCCAUAACUGACGCUGAGAAGCGAAAGCAUGGGGAG
rnacentral:rRNA from 1 species